GAUGAACGCUGGCGGCGUGCCUAAUACAUGCAAGUCGAGCGAACAGAUGAGGAGCUUGCUCCUCUGACGUUAGCGGCGGACGGGUGAGUAACACGUGGAUAACCUACCUAUAAGACUGGGAUAACUUCGGGAAACCGGAGCUAAUACCGGAUAAUAUAUUGAACCGCAUGGUUCAAUAGUGAAAGACGGUUUUGCUGUCACUUAUAGAUGGAUCCGCGCCGCAUUAGCUAGUUGGUAAGGUAACGGCUUACCAAGGCAACGAUGCGUAGCCGACCUGAGAGGGUGAUCGGCCACACUGGAACUGAGACACGGUCCAGACUCCUACGGGAGGCAGCAGUAGGGAAACUUUCGCAAUGGGCGAAAGCUUGACGGAGCAACGGCGCGUGAGUGAUGAAGGUCUUCCGAUCGUAAAACUCUGUUAUUAGGGAAGAACAAAUGUGUAAGUAACUAUGCACGUCUUGACGGUAACUAAUUAGAAAGCCACGGCUAACUACGUG
rnacentral:rRNA from 1 species